UACGUAGGGCGCAAGCGUUGUCCGGAAUUAUUGGGCGUAAAGAGCUCGUAGGCGGUCUGUUACGUCCGCUGUGAAAACCCAGGGCUUAACCCUGGGCUUGCAGUGGAUACGGGCAGACUAGAGGCAGGUAGGGGAGAAUGGAAUUCCCGGUGUAGCGGUGAAAUGCGCAGAUAUCAGGAGGAACACCGGUGGCGAAGGCGGGUCUCUGGGCCGAUACUGACGCUGAGGAGCGAAAGCGUGGGGAGCGAACAGG
rnacentral:rRNA from 1 species